GAGCGAUCUCUUCGGAGAGAGCGGCGGACGGGUGAGUAACGCGUGGGUAACCUGCCCUGUACACACGGAUAACAUACCGAAAGGUAUACUAAUACGGGAUAAUGUACGAAAGUCGCAUGGCUUUUGUAUCAAAGCUCCGGCGGUACAGGAUGGACCCGCGUCUGAUUAGCUAGUUGGUAAGGUAAUGGCUUACCAAGGCAACGAUCAGUAGCCGACCUGAGAGGGUGAUCGGCCACACUGGAACUGAGACACGGUCCAGACUC
rnacentral:rRNA from 1 species